rnacentral:rRNA from 1 species
UACGUAGGGUGCAAGCGUUAAUCGGAAUUACUGGGCGUAAAGCGUGCGCAGGCGGUGAUGUAAGACAGAUGUGAAAUCCCCGGGCUCAACCUGGGAACUGCAUUUGUGACUGCAUCGCUGGAGUACGGCAGAGGGGGAUGGAAUUCCGCGUGUAGCAGUGAAAUGCGUAGAUAUCGGAAGGAACACCAGUGGCGAAAGCGGCUUCCUGGUCCAGCACCGACGUUCAGGCACGAAAGCGUGGGGAGCAAACAGG